rnacentral:lncRNA from 1 species
UGAACACCCAGCUGCAGAGCGGAGGCUCAGAAAUGGCCAACACACAUCAGAGGCACUCAAUAGAUAUCUGGUGAAUGAAUGAGGAGUGAGUAAAUGAAUAAAGUAAAAUACAGAUGACCCUCAAUUUGGACAUAAUGCAUUCCUAGAGACUGCUUCAUAAAGGAUAUUGCUUAAAGGCAAAACACCGACUGCAAGAAUGCCACCACUUUUGUCUGUAAAAUUCAUUACAAAUUGACAGCAGAUAAAGUAGCAUAUAUAUCUCUUCAUUAGGUAACAGCAAAUAAAUGGAAAGGCAAAAGAGGGCCACAAUGAAGCAUGAACAAUGUAUAGAAUUCUAGUAAAAGAUGAUUGCAUAAGGACAUUUUUACCUUGCUUCUCUUUAUGAAAGUGUCCAUCAAUAUGAAGAAAAAGAAGGGAAGAACCACCAUCUUCUCCAUGACAGCAUGCCUAAAGCUAGUCUAAUCUUCUCUCUGUCUUGAAAGGUUUUAUGGAUCCUGUGAGUCUGCUUAUCACAGUCAUUUGAAGAGAGAAACAACAACUGCCAAUCAUGAAACAGAGGAUGUGUGAGAUAUGGGCUUGCUGUGAACCAAGAUGAUCCAAAGGGGAUGCUGAAAGCUUAGCAGAACCAAAUACUCAAAUAGAAAAAAUGUGGCUGAUUUGCUUCAACAGCUUUCCGAGAUAAUAUACCAAAGUGGAAACUGAUAGCUUCUCCAGAUCAUACUUGCUCAUUCUGUCCCCGAUUCUUGGGCAGAACUCUGGUCUAGAGAGAACUUUCCUUAUUCCAAGAAGCACCGUGAGCAGAAGACCUAAAACAAGACCCAUAGAGUAAAGGGACAUGGGAAACAAAAUGGCAAAUCUGACAUCAGAAAAAAAUGAAGAAGAAAAUAAAUAAAAAAUAUAGCCUUCAUACUUUUAAGUAAAAUGAGUGUAAGCUAGUUGCAAAAGACAUAAAAUUAAUAAAAGAUAACAACUUAAUAAAAGAUAUCAAAUCUAAUCUGUCUCUCUCACAUGCACAGACACACACACACACACACACACACACACACACACACAAAGUGUUGAAAGGAUAAUCAGGCAGGCCGAUUUUAAGAAAUAAAUGUAAAAAUAAAGUCAUCAAAAACUGUCACCGCAUUAAGAACCUAAAGGAUUAAGAAAGACAACAUAGAAAAUAGCAUCCAUGAGCAUAGAAGGCUUGAAAUAAUCACAGAAAAAGAAAUGAAACAAAAAAAUUAGAAAGCGAUUAGAUACAAUAUUAUAGAUAUGGAAGUCAGAC